rnacentral:rRNA from 1 species
AAACAUGUYUUUUAGAAUAUAAUUUAAAGUYUGGUUUGCUCAAUGAUUAAUUUUAAAUAGCUGCAGUAUACUGACUGUACAAAGGUAGCAUAAUCAAUAGUUUUCUAAUUAAAAGCUGGAAUGAAGGAUUUGAUAAGGUAAAUAUUGUCUCAAAUUUAAUAAAGUUAAAAUUUUUUUUUUUAUAAAAAAAUAAAAUUGAAUUUAAAAGACGAGAAGACCCUAUAGAAUUUUAUAUUUUGAAUUAAAAAAAUAAAAAUUAAAAAAUAAAUUUUAAUGAAAAAAUAUUUGGUUGGGGUAAUUAUUAAAUUAAAUAAAUUUUAAUUUUUAUAAAACAAAAAUUAUUGAAUAUAUGAUUUUGGAUAUAAAUAAUAAGAAUAAAUUACCUUAGGGAUAACAGCGUAAUUUUUUUGGAGAGAUCUUAUUGAUAAAAAAGUUUGCGACCUCGAUGUUGAAUUAAGAUAAAAUUUUAAUGAAGAAGUWAAAAAUUUUUGGUCKGUUCGACCAUUAAAAUCUUACGU